UACGGAGGAUCCAAGCGUUAUCCGGAAUCAUUGGGUUUAAAGGGUCCGUGGGCGGUCUAGUAAGUCAGUGGUGAAAGCCCAUCGCUCAACGGUGGAACGGCCAUUGAUACUGCUGGACUUGAAUUAUUGGGAAGCAACUAGAAUAUGUAGUGUAGCGGUGAAAUGCUUAGAGAUUACAUGGAAUACCAAUUGCGAAGGCAGGUUGCUACCAAUUGAUUGACGCUGAUGGACGAAAGCGUGGGUAGCGAACAGG
rnacentral:rRNA from 1 species